UACGUAGGACCCAAGCGUUAUCCGGAAUUACUGGGCGUAAAGAGUUGCGUAGGUGGACUGUUAAGUGGAGCGUGAAAGCGUGCGGCUCAACCGCAUUACUGCGUUCCAAACUAACAGACUAGAGUAUGAGAGAGGUAGAUGGAAUUUCCAGUGUAGGAGUGAAAUCCGUAGAUAUUGGAAGGAACACCGAUGGCGUAGGCAGUCUACUGGCUCAUUACUGACACUAAGGCACGAAAGCGUGGGGAGCAAACGGG
rnacentral:rRNA from 1 species